AGCGUCCCGUGCGUCAUGACGUAUUUCAUUGUCUUCGUGAGGCGCAUUCGGUGAAGGUUUGUGAAUCUGAGUAGUACCGAGUUGUCGCCAUGUCUAAAGAGACGCCUCGCGAGCCCGAGCAGAUGCGAAAGCUCUUCAUCGGGGGUCUGAGCUUCGAGACAACAGAUGAGAGCCUCCGGGCGCAUUUCGAACAAUGGGGAGCCCUGACAGACUGCGUGGUGAUGAGGGAUCCGAACACUAAGAGGUCGAGGGGGUUCGGCUUCGUGACCUACAGCUCGGUGAACGAAGUCGACGCGGCGAUGGACGCUCGGCCUCACAAAGUGGACGGGAGAGCUGUCGAGCCCAAAAGAGCCGUCUCACGAGAGGACUCGAGCAGGCCGGGCGCUCAUUCCACGGUGAAGAAGAUCUUCGUCGGAGGAAUCAAAGAGGACACAGACGAGGAGCACCUGCGCGACUACUUCAUCCAGUUCGGCAAAAUCGAGGAAGUGAACAUCAUGACCGAGAAGAACAGCGACAAGAGGAGGGGCUUCGCCUUCGUUACGUUCGACGACCAUGACUCAGUGGACAGGAUAGUCAUUCAGAAGUAUCACACAGUGAACGGUCACAACUGUGAAGUCAGGAAAGCGCUUUCCAGAGAAGAGAUGAACAGAGUUUCCAUGAACAACAGAGGUGGCCGCGGCGGCGGUGGAGGAAACUUUGGCGGUCGGGGAGGCGGAGGAGGAGGUGGUGGAUACGGAGGUGGAUACGGAGGUGGUGGACGUGGCGGAUAUGGAGACGGGGACGGAUACGGAGGAAACGGUGGCUAUGGUGGAGGUGGUCCUGGUUAUGGUGGUAACCGUGGGUACGGAGGAGGAGGAGGCAGUGGCUACGGCAACCAGGGUGGCGGCAGCGGUGGAUAUGGCGGCGGAGGAUACGACAACUACAACGGUGGAGGAGGCGGAGGGAACUAUGGAGGAGGAAACUUCGGCGGCGGCGGCGACUACAAUGACUUCGGCAACUACAACAAUCAGUCGUCGUCUAAUUACGGCCCGAUGAAGGGUGGAAACUAUGGCGGCGGAGGCAGGAGCGGCGGUGGUCCGUAUGGUGGCGGUUAUGGAGGUGGUUCUGGUGGUAGUUACGGAGGUGGAUCUGGAGGAAGGAGGUUCUAAGUAUUAGAUGACUGAACCAGAGGAUGGAUUUCUUUCUUCCGUGUGCAGCUUUUCCAGCGCAGAGAGCUGAUGAAUGUUUCCCUGAGAAGUAAUUCUGAGAGAUCCCAGGUUCUGAGAGUCGGGAUCGUUGGUCAGGAAUUCCGGCAUAAGCACGAUCACUCACAGAAGGAUCUCCUAAAACAUUUCAGUAGGAGUUACAAGUAAAAACCCUUUUUGUUUUAUUUUUCUUUUAAGUACCUUUUCGAUUGAACACAGAACUGUGAUCAAAGGCUACUGGACCUUGUGUAUAUGCUACAUAGCUAAAAGUAUAUGCACCCCCUGACCAUCACACCCGUGCGUGCUUGUUCAACAUCUCAUUCCAGAUUUGCUGUUAUAAUGCGCUCCACUCUUCUGGGAAGACUUUCCACUAGAUGUUGGGGUGGUGUUGUGGGGAUUUGCGUUCAUUCAGCUACAAGAGCGUUAGUGAGGUUGGUGAGGAAGUCAGGUGCUGAUGUUGGGAUGUAGAGGAGGUCUGGCAUGCACUCUGUGUUCCAGUUCAUCACAGGUGUUCAGUGGGGUUGAGGUCAGGACUCUGUUCAGGACACUCGAGAUCUUCCACCUUCUUCCAGCCUUCACACACCAUGUCUUCAUGGAGCUCGCUUUGUGCACUUUGUGUCAUGCUGGAACAGUGUUUGAGCCUCUACGUUCCAGUGAAGGGACAUUCUAUACAGGGGUGUUGUAUAUGAUCGUUUGGAGGUGAACCACGGGGUCUGAUGGUCAGGUGUCCACAUGGCCAUAUAGUGUAGGUCUAAAAAGCUGCUUUUAACACACAGGUUCCAGAAGUUGUGGGUUUCUCAACAAGGACCGUUUAAGAUUUUGGAGAAAUUCCUUGAAUAUUUUAGUAAUUUUUGGACUUUUUUUAUUUAGUCGAUAUAAUCUCUGACCUGAUCUUUCUCU